GUGUCAGCAGCCGCGGUAAGACGGAGGAGGCAAGCGUUAUCCGGAAUGAUUGGGCGUAAAGAGUCCGUAGGUGGAACUUCAAGUCUAUUGUUAAAGAGCAAAGCUUAACUUUGUAAAGGCAGUGGAAACUGAAGAACUAGAGAGGGGCAGGGGCAAAGGGAAUUCCUGGUGUAGCGGUGAAAUGCGUAGAGAUCAGGAAGAACACCGGUGGCGAAAGCGCUUUGCUGGGCCCAUUCUGACACUGAGGGACGAAAGCUAGGGGAGCGAAUGGGAUUAGAAACCCCAGUAGUCC
rnacentral:rRNA from 1 species